rnacentral:rRNA from 1 species
AGAUGGCGACCGGCGCACGGGUGAGUAACACGAUCAACCUGCCGAUAACUCGGGGAUAGCCUUUCGAAAGAAAGAUUAUACCGAUGGUAUAAUCAGACCGCAUGGUUUGAUUAUUAAAGAAUUUCGGUUAUCGAUGGGGAUGCGUUCCAUUAGGCAGUUGGUGAGGUAACGGCUCACCAAACCUUCGAUGGAUAGGGGUUCUGAGAGGAAGGUCCCCCACAUUGGAACUGAGACACGGUCCAA